AAAGUACCACUGCUUCUCACUGCUCUUCCCAGUAGCUACCCUUUAUGGUGGGAUCCAGACUCUGCGUCUAAAUCCAGGAAUGUUCCCAAGAGUUCUUGAAUGCAUGGAAAAGAAAUGCUGGUAUCUCUGACAGUGAAAAAGAACUCUGUCUUCUCUAUUCACAGGUACCCUAAAAAAAUAAAUUAGAAGCAGCUGCAAGAAUAACACUUUAAAACAGCCAGAAGAUAUCUGCACUGCCUAGCUGCAUUCCCUCUUGGCCUUUUGGCCAGUAACCAAACUGGGCAAAGCAAACUGAGCUUGAAGAAUUGUGUCAUUCUGUACAGCUGUGAAGGACUGUGGUGGCUGCUAGGUGUUGAAGAACCAGACCCUGCUAGGAACAAUCUGGAGCAGAUGUGGAAUUGCAGGAAUUUCAGCAUCGGUGUCAAGGCCUCUUCACAUUCAAGGAAAAGAAUUGAAGUCAUACCCCCAAUGGAGCACAUCCAUCCAUCAAGGGGAGGAUACUGCAGCAUACAGGAUGUCAUCUUCCCACAGCCUCCUCCCUGCUUCCCUGUGGAGGCAAAGCACCAUUCAAGUGAAGGAGGCUUUAGAAAGGAGCUCUUCUGUAUUUUCCACAUCUGUGCACAGGGAAGGAGCCAGAUCCGUGUGGCUAACCAGUUCACCAUGGAGCAACAGGAACUGGACCACAGUUUGGGCACCUCAGCAGGCAGAGGUGCCUGCUGCUCCUCUGAAAGGAGUAUCAGAUGGAGAAUUAAAGAAGGUCUUCCAGCUGGUCCCAAAGGCAACAUUUUCCUUAUUUAGUGUCUCCAAAGUUCCUUGAGUUGCUUGGAUGAGUGAUCCUAUUGUGAGAGCAGUUGUGGCGGAGUUCAGCUGCCCAGGAGGAUAAAACCACCACAAGGAUCUACUCUGCAUGUAUUGAAGAGAAGCCAAGACCAUAUUAGACUCCAUAAUUGAUUUAUAUAUUCCUAUUUCUUCAUAUCCAGACACAGAGCUUAUGAAUGGAUAUACAGAAGGGCUGGUGUGGUCUGACUGUCCCCUGGAUCCAGCAGCCUGAUGGAAGCAAGGCAGGGGCUCACACAGGAAGAUUGGCUAAUCCUGUAUAUUCUUAAACCUGAAGUAUUUCUUGUACAGAACAAAAGCACUAUUUUUGAGAUCUGCAAGACCAAAGAUGAUACCAUGUAUAUCUAAUGUUGGAAAAACAAAGUGAAAGAAUGUUGAAAUGUGUGACCAUCUGGCUGCUUGUCCACUUGAGCACAGGCUAUAAGGGUCAGUGAGACCCCUCGGAGUGCUAUUGAUACCAGACUCUGACAGGAAGCACUUUAUCUGGUCCCCACAGGAUAGAGACAAAUGUACUCAGAGCUCUCUCACACCUGGAAGAAAGUUUUGGACAGAGGGAACCUGCUUAUUACUUUCCAAGACACAAACUAAAGCACAAGUUUCUUGCACGUGUAGAUCUAGUUGCUCAAGAAGAAUGACCAAGACUGAAAUGAUGGAUGCACAGUGAAACUCCUACGUCCAGAUAAAGAGAAAUGAGAGUGCACUAUGUAAAAGAGGCUCACUUAUUUUGGAGUGGAGGCAAAGAAAGAGAAUGACAGCUUUGCUAAGCCUCUCCCUUACUGGUUUGAAUGCUCUUGGGUAUGUCAAGGCUUUGAGAAAAGAGGAACAGAGAACAAACUCAGGCCACAUUUGGUGCUUUUUAUUUUUUCUUCGAAAGACAGAAAGUAAUGAAGAUAAUGAUCAUUCUUCCAAAUUCAGUGGAUUGGAUUUGCCACUCGUAGCUCUGCCUACAAAUCUGGACCUGAUAUACAUACUGUUCUCAUUUCAGGGGGUUACUUCAGCUUCAAUAGAGACCAAAUGUCUGUGAGCAUUUGGAGGCUUAAUUUUGGUCUCAAGGUUUAAUUUCAUCUGAAAGGAAUGCAGUUUGUUUGCUCUGAGGUUGCUCCACAAAGUGACCCACAUGUGGUAAGUAGGAGCCAUCAGAUGGAUAGCCACCAUGUUACUGAGUGGAAGCAGAGUUCCCUCCUGAAAUAUUACUCCUUCAAUACCAAUAUUGCACAAUGACUUAAAAAUAUUUCACCUCCAACUUC